rnacentral:rRNA from 1 species
UGACUUGCUCCCUUAGGUUAGCGGCGGACGGGUGAGUAACACGUGGGUAACCUGCCUGUAAGACUGGGAUAACUCCGGGAAACCGGGGCUAAUACCGGAUGGUUGAUUGAACCGAAUGGUUCAAUUAUAAAAGGUGGCUUUUAGGUACCACUUACAGAUGGACCCGCGGCGCAUUAGCUAGUUGGUGAGGUAACGGCUCACCAAGGCGACGAUGCGUAGCCGACCUGAGAGGGUGAUCGGCCACACUGGGACUGAGACACGGCCCAGACUCCUACGGGAGGCAGCAGUAGGGAAUCUUCCGCAAUGGACGAAACUCUGACGGAGCAACGCCGCGUGAGUGAUGAAGGUUUUCGGAUCGUAAAACUCUGUUGUUAGGGAAGAACAAGUACCGUUCGAACAGGGCGGUACCUUGACGGUACCUAACCAGAAAGCCACGGCUAACUACGUGCCAGCAGCCGCGGUAAUACGUAGGUGGCAAGCGUUGUCCGGAAUUAUUGGGCGUAAAGCGCGCGCAGGCGGUUUCUUAAGUCUGAUGUGAAAGCCCCCGGCUCAACCGGGGAGGGUCAUUGGAAACUGGGGAACUUGAGUGCAGAAGAGGAGAGUGGAAUUCCGCGUGUAGCGGUGAAAUGCGUAGAGAUGUGGAGGAACACCAGUGGCGAAGGCGACUCUCUGGUCUGUAACUGACGCUGAGGCGCGAAAGCGUGGGGAGCGAACAGGAUUAGAUACCCUGGUAGUCCACGCCGUAAACGAUGAGUGCUAAGUGUUAGAGGGUUUCCGCCCUUUAGUGCUGCAGCAAACGCAUUAAGCACUCCGCCUGGGGAGUACGGUCGCAAGACUGAAACUCAAAGGAAUUGACGGGGGCCCGCACAAGCGGUGGAGCAUGUGGUUUAAUUCGAAGCAACGCGAAGAACCUUACCAGGUCUUGACAUCCUCUGACACCCCUAGAGAUAGGGCUUCCCCUUCGGGGGCAGAGUGACAGGUGGUGCAUGGUUGUCGUCAGCUCGUGUCGUGAGAUGUUGGGUUAAGUCCCGCAACGAGCGCAACCCUUGAUCUUAGUUGCCAGCAUUCAGUUGGGCACUCUAAGGUGACUGCCGGUGACAAACCGGAGGAAGGUGGGGAUGACGUCAAAUCAUCAUGCCCCUUAUGACCUGGGCUCCACACGUGCUACAAUGGGCAGAACAAAGGGCAGCGAAGCCGCGAGGCUAAGCCAAUCCCACAAAUCUGUUCUCAGUUCGGAUCGCAGUCUGCAACUCGACUGCGUGAAGCUGGAAUCGCUAGUAAUCGCGGAUCAGCAGGCCGCGGUGAAUACGUUUCCGGGCCUUGUU